GUAUCUCAGUAACGAAGAAGACGCAUACAUGGGAUUUUGAGCUGAUUUGUCUUGGCUUUUCUGGGAAGCCACAUACACAAAUCAAUCCAUUGUGGAGUUUCAAGACGAACAGUGGCCUUUGCCUUUGCCAGUCUGAGACCCUGUCUAUUCCUAGGAGCCACCACCCAACGUCCAGUUUAUGUUCAAAGCCUGUGGGAGAGGGCU
rnacentral:lncRNA from 1 species